AGUGAACGCUGGCGGCAGGCCUAACACAUGCAAGUCGAACGGCAGCACGGCAGUAGCAAUACUGUGGGUGGCGAGUGGCGGACGGGUGAGGAAUACAUCGGGAUCUACCCUGUUGUGGGGGAUAACGUAGGGAAACUUACGCUAAUACCGCAUAAGAACUGAGGUUGAAAGCGGCGGACCGCAAGGCGUCGCGCGAUUGGAUGAACCGAUGUCCGAUUAGCUAGUUGGCGGGUAAAGGCCCACCAAGGCGACGAUCGGUAGCUGGUCUGAGAGGACGACCAGCCACACUGGAACUGAGACACGGUCCAGACUCCUACGGGAGGCAGCAGUGGGGAAUAUUGGACAAUGGGCGCAAGCCUGAUCCAGCCAUGCCGCGUGGGUGAAGAAGGCCUUCGGGUUGUAAAGCCCUUUUGUCCGGAAAGAAAAGCAUUCGGUUAAUACCCGGGUGUUCUGACGGUACCGGAAGAAUAAGCACCGGCUAACUUCGUG
rnacentral:rRNA from 1 species